rnacentral:lncRNA from 1 species
AUGUGUUCCGAAGUGAACUCUAGGAACAUAUCCCGUUGGAGUACUUUCGGGAGUAGAAAGAGGUGUAGAUAAGACCGGUGAGAUCCGACCCGAAUUUGGUGUUAAAUCGGUGUUGUUAGGCACCUGAUUUACCUGACCGAGAGACUCGCUUUCAGACAUGAUGUAAAGAGAAAAUGGAGCUACACAACUGGUCUUUAAGAUAAAGUUAGCGGCGUAGCCCCACGGUGGGCGCCAACUUGUUGAUGCAACGAAUACAAGACCAAGGCCUGUAGCGACAUCUCUGGGUAAAAGGGUUCAGGGGUUCGAUUAGCCUAACGCAGGUCGUGGGGUCCCUCCACGUUUGCAAAACGUAGAGAGAGGUUCACUAGUAAUGUUAUUGUUCUUUGCUAAUUCUAAGCUGAAAAGGUUCCAGCCCAGAAUGUGAUCGCGGAAGUUGUAUUUUGUGAGCGAAGAAGAGAACUUGUAAUGAACAAGUUCUUGAGGGAGAAGAGAGAGAUCAGAAGUUCAUGUGAGAUUACAACUGAUCUGGAGUGUGUUGAAUGCUGGACCUGACUUAUGUUUUAUAGGGAAAGGCAUCUCCCAAAGGAGAAGCUCUGGACUAGUGAACCAUGCUUGCAGUGGAGGACUUACCCAUUUAGGGGUUGAAGGGUUUGGACCUGCGGGUAAAAGAGUGUGCUCUCCCACAUGGUCUGGUUGCAGCUGGGCAGGAGGUUUCACACGUUAAGUGUUGAUGUGACAGGACACUGUGCUUGUCCUUUUUACUGUUCAUGACCGUUGGAACAUUUCUGAACCUUUUAACCUUUUAACCUUUUAAGCUGUUGUGUCUCUAAUCAGUUUAUUAAGGUUUGAGCUACCCCCGUCAUCAACAACUUUUGAAAGUUUCUACAUUAAGCUUUGUGGGGGUGAACUUAGUAAGUGACAUAAGUUUGAUGCCAAGAUUAUGAGUGGAGAUGUUUAAAAGAGGUGGCCAUAGUCCAAAUGUUUGCUUGUUGACCUCUUCCAGUUCAUGAAGCCUUUCUUGAGGAAUGCUGAA